AGUCCACUGGCACCAGCAGAAACACUCACAUUGACUUCAAUGCGCUUUGGAUCAGGUUCUCAAGACCCUCUUGAAAACUCAUCUUUCCCAGGAUGCUCCCAACAAAGCAAUUGAGCAUUUUCAUUAUCUUGUAUCGUUACCUUCUAGACAUUGAAAACCCGAUAUACCUGAUCCAUCAUGAAGAUUCCAUGCCUCCACUCCCAGCAGGGUGCACCUCCCAGUUUGAGAACCUCUGCUCUAAGUUUCUUUCACAUGCUGCCGAAAAUGGAGGAAUCUGAAGCAGAGGAGAAGCAAAAGGAGUCUGAGAUUGUGUUGUACAAAGGCAUUACCACCAUAUUGUAGCAGCAAUAUGCUUAGCAGAUUCUCAGUUUGCACUGCUGGAAGAGGUUCCUUAUUCUGCAACUUUUUGUUCAGGUUUUUCCUGGACCCUCACAUUUGUAGCCUGAGAUAGGGCACUCAAGAAGACACUGGAAGAAAGAAACACUAAAAGCCUGCCUUAUCUUUACACCUGGUAUGCCUGGAUUUUGCUCAGGCUGUUAUGACAUCGGUGUUUCACCAGUCGGUCAAUAAACUUUGUUGGUUUUACGUUUUUAUUUUGUUUUGAAUGUGACCCUCCAUGCGUACAUUAGCAAAUGGCUAACAACCAGGAUGCUUACACUUCACACAAACAGAAAGAAGAUUAUUAUUUUAGAUGAGGAUGCACAGUGGCUGCCAGAUUUGAUUGAUGUGCACCCGUUCUCCAAACACAAUGAUGGUUUUAGGUA